AGCAGCCGCGGUAAUUCCAGCUCCAAUAGCGUAUAUUAAAGUUGUUGCAGUUAAAAAGCUCGUAGUUGAAUUUCGGGGUCAAUAAGUUGGUCAUGCCAAUGGUAUGCACUGGCUUUAUUGAUUCCUACCUCUUGACGAACUGUGAUGCCAUUAAUUUGGUGUUGCAAGGAAUCAGGACUGUUACCUUGAAAAAAUUGAGUGUUUAAAGCAAGCUUACGCUUGGAUACAUUAGCAUGGAAUAAUGAAAUAGGACGUUUGAUCCUAUUUUGUUGGUUUCUAGGAUCGACGUAAUGAUUAAUAGGGAUAGUUGGGGGCAUUAGUAUUCAAUUGUCAGAGGUGAAAUUCUUGGAUU
rnacentral:rRNA from 1 species